rnacentral:lncRNA from 1 species
UGGAAGCCGCAUCUCCACCCCGCGGGCUCUGCCGCAGCGCCGCGCUUUCUUCGGACUUGUAGGGCGGUUGCUCUAGUCGCUCCCUAGCAAGGCAAUAGUCUUCUGGGGGAUAGAUGGGAGUCGUCUCUCCCUUAAAAGUGUUUUUCUUUUAUAAUUUUUAAAUUAAAAAUUCCUCCUGGGGACGACAGACCUGAGGGAGAAAAGAGGAUUCGCUGUUUCGGGACCAUCACUGGUCCAGCCGGCCACCUUUCUCCCUGGUGGGCCUGAGCCUUUGUUCGGAGGGGUCCAAGUUAGGGAGAACGGGUAGGAAAUGAGCACCUGGGUUUGGAUAAACUCUAUGCGGACUUUCCCACCCGCGCCGCCUGUAGAAAACUCGAUGUUGCAGGCCUCGCUGCCCGAGAUCUAUCUAAUUCAGGUGCGGCGGCCCAACUGCUAAGAGCCGAAGCUGCUGGACUGGGAAAUGGUUGCAGUCAAGAGCGUCGGCACAGGCUCUGCAGAAAGUCGGGGUUAGAAAGGCUGCUCGGAGAUGCCUCAGCGCUGGAAACAGUCUGGCACCUCGCUCCACAGCCCGAUUCCUGUAGCUUUUGACCCCGCCUCCACCUUUAGAGUGCUAGUGCCCUCUGGACCCAGAGUUUUGCCACAGCCUACAACCCGCUUGACAACAGGCCGACCCUUCCCCAUCUUUCCUACUAGCGCCCCGCCGCUCUGGCUCUGGGGCUGGUUAAGUUUGCAUGACUGUAUCUCUGCUGGUAAAUCACAAACCAUGAGGAAAGUAAGGGGUCCUGCAUUAGCGCU